AAUAUUGGACAAUGGGCGAAAGCCUGAUCCAGCCAUGCCGCGUGUGUGAAGAAGGUCUNAGGAUUNUNAAGCACUUUAAGUUGGGNGGAAGGGCAUUAACCUAAUACGUUAGUGUUUUGACGUUACCGACAGAAUAAGCACCGGCUAACUUCGUGCCAGCAGCCGCGGUAAUACGAAGGGUGCAAGCGUUAAUCGGAAUUACUGGGCGUAAAGCGCGCGUAGGUGGUUUGUUAAGUUGGAAGUGAAAGCCCCGGGCUCAACCUGGGAACUGCUUUCAAAACUGGCAAGCUAGAGUAUGGCAGAGGGUGGUGGAAUUUCCUGUGUAGCGGUGAAAUGCGUAGAUAUUAGGAGGAACACCAGUGGCGAAGGCGACCACCUGGGCUAAUACUGACACUGAGGUGCGAAAGCGUGGGGAGCAAACAG
rnacentral:rRNA from 1 species